GAGGUGAAGUUAAAUUCCCAUUGUUGACGAUACUGGGAGCUUAAUCUUGAGUUGGAAAAAACUGAACUAGGAGUUGACUGAACAUAGCUCUCUAAUUGCUACUGAAGUUCUAAUUUGCUGCUUAUAUAAAGUUGAUUGAGGAAUUUGAAUUGAAAAUCUGCAAAAACAUAGGAACAAAACUCUUAUAUAUAUAUAUAUAUAUAUAUAUAUAUAAUUGCGAGAUAGGCCCGGUGACGCGGCGCUUUUUCCCAGAAUUUAUUCAUGUGUUGUGGUUUAAAAAAAAAAAAAAAAAAAAAAAAAAAAAAAGAAGAGUCACGUCUCUUAAUAGUCUUCCAUCUACUUUUUUCCUCAUACUUUCAACCGUUUCAGUUCUGUUUCAUUCAACUAAACGCCUCCUUUUGCUACUUUUAGAUUCUCACUUGCCCCAAGUUUUUCAUACCCUGUCUCUACACCUAUGUACUUCGCCUGCAUUGCUCUUUGCUGCCCCUCUGCUCACCAUUUGUUGCUUGAAAAGGUUCUAUUGAGAAAAGUUUUUUUUACUGAGAACGGUUGCUUAAUUUUCCCUAUUUUUUUACCAAGUUACCGUGAACGUUGCUUCCAGUUCUUUUUUUCCUUCCCCUGUUUCAUUUCUAAUGGCAUAUAGUGCAGUGAAGAAACCAAUAUAGGAGGUACUCGCCGAGGAAAAUAUCCUCUUUCUCGCUUUCAAGAUUUAUUUGAUUAGUAUUUCAUGUUUCUCUGUGUCUAUUCAUUACCAAUUAUAGAUUCCAAGUUUGGCCGCAUGACUGUAUAACGCGGGGUUCCUCUGCUUUGCUGUACAUAUGGCUUUUUGUUUCUCUUUCUUUUUCUUUUUAAUUUUGGUGAUUGAAUCACUUCAUAUGUAUAUAUCUUGACUAAUAUAUUGUCCUCUUCUUAAAUGUCUUUAUUUAUAUCAUUUUCUGCCACUUUCUCCCUUUUUUUUUUAAACCCCUCAUCCUGUUCGUUCAACUUGUUGUUCAUUAAACAUUAUUAACUAAAGCAGUUUUAACCCUCAAUGGAUCAUACAAAUAGGAAAAAGAGAACAGUCUAAUGGAAACCGGAAAGAUUCUUCAAUUGUGGAUUUGUAAUUUACAUUAAAACCUUCAUAUUUUAUAUUCCAAUGGCGCCAACCACCAAGGCAGGGAGAAAAUUAGUCGCCGAUGAAGAAGUUCCGACGAUAAAAAGCUUCAUGUUCGAUUAAUAUUCCCUCUUUUUCUUUUCUCAUCUUGGGUCUUAUAUUGUUUUUUCGUCACAAUCACCGGAGUGACAAGCGCGAAACAGAUUUUUCAGAGCAAGUAAUGCUUCAACGCAGAGAUCCCGGUAAAGCUUCUAGAUGAGGCGACACUCCCUUUUCAUGCUUUGCCAGAUAGAGCAAGAAUGGAACUAUCAUUGCACGUAUAUUUUUGUCGUUUCAAAAAAAUUCCAAUUCCUUAAUUAAUAGUUUGUUCAUGGCAUCGCAACCCAGAAUAAAACAAUUACUGCCCUCUUUUAAGGCAGCGAGAUAAAUCAUCGAUCCUGCAGUCAUGGAUGUUGCUUUCUAUUGACAUCAAGGCGUUCUUUUGCAUAUAUUGCAAUGGUUCAGGUCAUUUAAUAGGAAUAAAAUAUGUCCCACCAACCAGGGGAUGAUGCUGAAUACAUGGCAGAUGAUAUGACAUGGAAGCUAUAGAUGAUGAUAUGGAUGAUUAGUUAACGGCAGUGACAUGGUCCGUGCUCCUCCCUGAAAAUAUAUUUUUGUGGUGAGUGUUAAACAUUUUAACUUCAAUAUGUUACUUGUCUACUUGUGGAUUAGAAUAAUAAAAUGCAAAAUAUUUCUGCUGCUGAGGCAAAGACUUUUAAGGGAUUCCCUGGGAAAGGCUUAGUAUAACAAGGGAGUAGUACAGGCAAACAAGAUUACAGCAAUACAAGAACUAUGAAAUACUCCUCAGUUUUGGGGAGCAUCAUAGAAGCCCCUUUUGGAUUGAUGUUUCAACUUUGAAGGUGCAUAUAAUUACACUUGAUAUAUUUGACAUGUGAGUGGUUAAGUUACUAUUAGACUUAAUUCAUUAUUUAACCAAUUUUCUUGUUCAUCUUUAUAGGUUUUUUAUACUAUAUAUUUUAUAUAUUUUGCAGGUUUUGGAGACUUGAGUUUACAAGUCCAGAUGUAGAUUUUGAAGACUUCAUGCAAGUUGAAGAGUUAGUUAUCAUUUUGCAAGGACUGCUAGGCAAUAUUUUGUAUUUUUUGCUAUGGAUGCUAACUUUUUCACUAAGAGGUUGUGUAAAUAGUAUGGUAACUUGAAUCAAUAGUAGUACCAUGACCCUAAUGAGAUGUUAAUCCAUGUUUUGAAAUUAAUUAUAUGUAUGAAAUAAUGGUUACUAUUGAAUAUAUUGUUGAAAUCCAAUUGAUUUCUUGUGCUGUAAGUUGUAUAAUAUUGUGAUGA